GAACUGAUGGAGUCUGAAUGCAGAUUGAAGGAUGACAUUUAAAAACAUUCUGAGAAAGAAUCCCUAGACUUUGACAGACUGCUAAAAAGAUCUGUGACCCAAAGAAGAUUAAGAAACCUUCCUCUAUGAUAUCACCGUUGGGUGGGCCUUACAUAUUAUAAAGUAUAGACCAGGGGUGGGGAAACUGCGGCUUUGAGGCCACAAAGGGCCACACUUGAGGACCUAGAGGCCCACGUGGCCUCAAAGCCAAAGCUGAAGGUUCCCCACCCCUGGUGGAGACUGAGCCAUAGCCACCCCUGUGACCGGACAGAAGGCUGCUUGCCACCACCAUAGUUGCACCCAGUGAGCACCUCAAAUCUCCAGAGAGGGUCUCUAUCAUAGUCACAUGUGGCCAUUGCAAUGCCUUUCUGAAGGAGCCAUCAACUCCCCAAUCAAGUCCACGCGUGGGCCAGCCCUUGUUUUUAUAGCUGCUCUGAUUGAGCUCUGACCAAGAUAGCAGUUACUCUGCUUGGGUUACUAGCAACAUGAUUCUCUCAAUAAAAAAUGCAGAGAUCCAUGAGGUCAUGUG